AUACAUUUAAGUACUGAGUAAUAUUAAUGAAUUACAUAUACUUACUAUAUGGUUUGGGUUGGGAUUAGGGUUACUUAGAUGUAAUUACGCAUUAUUUAUUGUUAUUAUAAUAGUAAGUACAUGUAACAUGCGUAACAAAGACACCUUAAAAUAAAGUGUUACCAUAUGUUCUUAUUCCAAAAGACAAAGGUGAUGCUCAGCAUGUAUUUAAUCCUUCAAAUAUUCAAUUAUGCUUUGUCACGUAUACCUGGAAAGACAGAUUAAAACUGGACCUUGAUUACGCCAGAACCCUCUUUAGCUCAAUUAUAACUCUGCACGUAAAUGCACUUAUUCUCUUUGCACAUAAUCAUUCUUUACUUGACAUUUUCCUUCCUAGUGAAACUCAUUUCUUCCCUCUCAACCUGAUGAAGCAUUCUGCACCCUUGUUGUCAUUAGGUUCGUUUAUUUAAGUUCACCCCUGGCCAUUUUUGUGCGGCACAUUUCCUCCUUCCUCUCUCAACUCGCCAGCAUCAAGGGGCACAGGAACGGCUCGCAGACCGAACGGGUGAGUCACUGGCACAGACAGACUAAUAAUGACCUGCGGGACUGUUCUAAGACAAGUGCGUCUCUUCCGUCACACUUUUGUUCCACCUUUUAGUCUUUUGAACUGCUCAGAUAGAUUAGUGUGAGAACUGUUAAUGAGCUUCUAAAAAUGGCUCUGCUAACGAGACAUUGUGAAACUCAGGUUCACGCAAACACGGGCAGAUGAACAUACCUGAAUAGUGUAUUUACACAGGACAUUCACGCACACACAUCUUUAUACUUUUUUUGACUCUUUCUCUUGACGAUGGUAUUAUGGGAGGUGGGGGGGUGUAUAAAUGUGUGCUACGACUGUGGAGGCAUAUCUAAAGGAGUGCAGAUACAACACCAAAACACUCACAGAUGACUUUCCACGCUGCUCUCGUCUCUAAUGGCAAUGCGAGGCUGGACCGGACCGAGCGCUCCAGGAGAGACGCGCGCUGUCCGAAACUGAGAAGCGAGUGUGAGGCAGGCAGAUAAAAGUGUUCUCUGUGCCUGCGCUGUCCUUCAAACUUCCUGACGGAUUACUUUAAAAAAGGGGGAGAAAAAUAAUCUUGAGGAUGAAUGAAGCGCUUAAAAAGAGAGAGUGAGAGACGGGACAAAAGGGGUUAAUUGAAAUAUGCACCAACAAGAUUCGUGGCAUGAAGUACAAAGUCAUCAUUCAAAUGGAGAGUUUGGCGCCGUGUUCCUGCAAAGCGUCUUUUAACACCUGACAGACAAUGAAUGUGAGGUCAUUCGCAGGGUGGUGCAGUAUUGGGUCUCAGAUUCCCCUCGACAUGCAUCAUCAGGUUAGAACGGCUGCAGGAGGAAAGGGGAGAGUUAACCGCCGUUUUUUUGCUGUGCAAUCCGAUCUGUUGAACACGGAGGGGAGGAAAGAUAAAAGGAAACAGAAGCGCUGUUGGAGUCUGUCUACAGGAAGAGCCUGAUUAGAGGUGAGCCUGCAGCAGGCACAUUGGCUGAGGAACCAGCCAAUCACAAGGGCAGCCAGGGAGGGCAAAGCCGCUCUGUCUUUGGCCAACUGUUUCUCUGUGUCACUUCACUCUUGUUGAACACAAUGUAUCCGGUAUCAAUCUGGUAUACUUAAUUACAAUAUGAAUUUACGUCAUGUAAUUCAUGUCAUAUGUAACAUGUUCUUUGAACAUUUCAGGUCACGUUCUCUCAGCGCAUGUAUUAUUAAUGGAUUUAAUGGUUCACUGGUGUUUCUUGUAAUAUGCAUGCUCAUGAACAUUAAUAAAGCAAACACACGUGUACUUUAUUGAACUGUGAAGGAAUUAAUGACACAAGGGUCUCUAUAUAUCAUGCUGUUUUGACAGGGUUUGCAGACAUUAUAAUAAGGCAGUUAUGAGUGUUUCUUCAACUACAGGCACAUGUCCCAGGUGCUGAUUUUUAACAACAGAUUAUUUUUAAAUUUGAUUAUUUAUUUAUUUAAUUUUUACUAUGUAAAGGUCACAUUAAACAGUUUCGUAUUUUUUUAUUUAUUUAUUACCAUGCUGUCAUUGCUUUUUUUAUGUAUAGAUUUGUAUUGUUUUAACCUAGUCCAAGACCAGACUUUUAAUA